rnacentral:misc_RNA from 1 species
GAAAUGCGAUAAGUAGUGUGAAUUGCAGAAUUCAGUGAAUCAUCGAAUCUUUGAACGCACAUUGCGCCCCCUGGUAUUCCAUGGGGCAUGCCUGUUCGAGCGUCAUUUGUACCCUCAAGCUCUGCUUGGUGUUGGGUGUUUGUCCCCGUCUCCGCGCGUGGACUCGCCCCAAAGUGAUUGGCAGCCGGCGUACUGGUCCCGGAGCGCAGCACAUGUCGCGCAAACGAGUGCCUUGGUACGGCGGCGUCCAUAAGCCCCUCUCUCACGCUCUUGACCUCGGAUCAGGUAGGGAUACCCGCUGAACUUAAGC